AUACGUAGGUGACAAGCGUUAUCCGGAUUUACUGGGCGUAAAGGGAGUGUAGGCGGUCUUGUAAGUCAGAAGUGAAAUUCCUGGGCUCAACUGGGGAGUUGAUUCGGAAACUGCAGGACUUGAGUGCUGCAGGGGAGAGCGGCAUUCCAUGUGGAGCGGUGAAAUGCGCAGAUAUAAGGAGGAACACCGGAGGCGAAGGGGGCUAUCUCUAGAGUAACUGACGCGCAGGCGCUAAAGCGCGUGGGGAACAAAGAAUUAGAUACCCUGGUAGCCCACGCCGUAAACGAUGAAUACUAGAAGUAGGGGGUAUCGACUCCCUCAGUGCCGCAGUUAACACAAUAAGUAUUCCGCCUGGGGAGUACGGCCGCAAGGUUGAAACUCAAAUGAAUUGACGGGG
rnacentral:rRNA from 1 species